UACGGAGGGAGCUAGCGUUGUUCGGAAUUACUGGGCGUAAAGCGCACGUAGGCGGCUUUGUAAGUUAGAGGUGAAAGCCCGGGGCUCAACCCCGGAAUUGCCUUUAAGACUGCAUCGCUUGAAUCCGGGAGAGGUGAGUGGAAUUCCGAGUGUAGAGGUGAAAUUCGUAGAUAUUCGGAAGAACACCUGUGGCGAAGGCGGCUCACUGGACCGGUACUGACGCUGAGGCACGAAAGCGUGGGGGAGCAAACAGG
rnacentral:rRNA from 1 species